rnacentral:rRNA from 1 species
CUUUUGAUGGGCGUCGACCGGCGCACGGGUGAGUAACGCGUAUCCAACCUGCCCACCACUUGGGGAUAACCUUGCGAAAGUAAGACUAAUACCCAAUGAUAUCUCUAGAAGACAUCUGAAGGAGAUUAAAGAUUUAUCGGUGAUGGAUGGGGAUGCGUCUGAUUAGCUUGUUGGCGGGGUAACGGCCCACCAAGGCUACGAUCAGUAGGGGUUCUGAGAGGAAGGUCCCCCACAUUGGAACUGAGACACGGUCCAAACUCCUACGGGAGGCAGCAGUGAGGAAUAUUGGUCAAUGGACGAGAGUCUGACCAGC